GUCCAAUCGAGCUAAUCCGAUUUCAGCAAUUAGAACCUUUUUAAUUGAUGAUCGAAUUAAACUCUUUAAUUUGAUUAAACCCACAAGAUAAGAUUGACGUCUAGCAAUGUAUCAUGUCUAUCUGAAAGAUAUAAAAUUUUAAUAAAAAUAUCAAAAAUAUCCUUCAGUGAAAAGUUACCAUGCAAUUCAAUCCUACGAUCUUUCUGCAUUUCGAAUAUGACUCUGG
rnacentral:lncRNA from 1 species